CUUCCGCCUGAGGGCCGGGGAGUUGGCACAGAGGGAGAAAUUGGUGGAGAUGGAUGGGAAAUGCUGGGUGAGGUUAUACACCCUAAGGUCCUAGCACUCAAUGUGAGAUAGACUGCUGUAAUGUUAUGACGGUAUGGUGUGCGGGGCUCAUCUUCCGCCUGCGAUGAGGUGAUAAAGAACACACGGCGUGCAGAGCAGGUCCAGGCCUGUGCAAAACACGCCACACCGACCCCCCCUGUGAGAAGUUCCCUGUUCCCAGGACCCAGUGUGUGCGUUUGGGGGGCAAUAACUCACCAGGUUCCCCCGACUUCCUCUUUCGGCCUUCUGCGUUUUAUGACUCUCUCUCCUCGGCCGUACAGCUGCCGUCUCCGCAGCUUCCCUGCGCUGUGAUUGGACCAGGCGGGAGUUUGAG
ensembl:lncRNA